GUUUAAAUAAACCCUGCAGUUUCACAUAUGUAAAGAACUCCUCGGAAAACUGUAUGUUGCCAGGGUUCCUAUUUUUUUGGCCAAAACAGCUGAAUUUGAAACAUUUUACUUUCCAAUUAAGAAACAUCUGCUUAGAAUAAAAAAAAAAGGUAGAUUUCCCAGAUGUUGUAGAAUUACAACUCCCACUAUGCUUUUAGAAUGCUUUAGAACAGGCUUCCCCAAACUCCGGCCCUCCAGAUGUUGCUGAACUACAACUC